rnacentral:rRNA from 1 species
UACGUAGGGUGCAAGCGUUAAUCGGAAUUACUGGGCGUAAAGCGCACGCAGGCGGUCAAUUAAGUCUGAUGUGAAAGCCGGGAGCUUAACUUGGGAAUUGCAUCUGAAACGGGUUGGCUAGAGUCUUGUAGAGGGGGGUGGAAUUCCAUGUGUAGCGGUGAAAUGCGUAGAGAUGUGGAGGAAUACCGGUGGCGAAGGCGGCCCCCUGGACAGAGACUGACGCUGAGGUGCGAAAGCGUGGGGAGCAAACAGG